rnacentral:rRNA from 1 species
AGUGAACGCUGGCGGUAGGCCUAACACAUGCAAGUCGAACGGCAGCACAGUAAGAGCUUGCUCUUACGGGUGGCGAGUGGCGGACGGGUGAGGAAUACAUCGGAAUCUACUUUUUCGUGGGGGAUAACGUAGGGAAACUUACGCUAAUACCGCAUACGACCUACGGGUGAAAGCAGGGGAUCUUCGGACCUUGCGCGAUUGAAUGAGCCGAUGUCGGAUUAGCUAGUUGGCGGGGUAAAGGCCCACCAAGGCGACGAUCCGUAGCUGGUGUGAGAGGAUGGUCAGCCGCACUGGAACUGAGCCGCGGUCCAGACUCCUACGGGAGGCAGCAGUGGGGUAUAUUGGACAGUGGGCGCAAGCCUGAUCCAGCCAUACCGCGUGGGUGAAGAAGGCCUUCGGGUUGUAAAGCCCUUUUGUUGGGAAAGAAAAGCAGCAGGCUAAUACCCCGCUGUUCUGACGGUACCCAAAGAAUAAGCACCGGCUAACUUCGUG